rnacentral:rRNA from 1 species
UCUAAGUAUAAAUGUUAUACAGUGAAACUGCGAAUGGCUCAUUAAAACAGUUAUAGUUUAUUUGAUAAUCGAAUUUACAUGGAUAACCGUGGUAAUUCUAGAGCUAAUACAUGCUGGUUAGCCUGACUUUUAGGAAGGGCUGUAUUUAUUAGAUAACAAACCAAUAUUCCUUGUGUCUAUUGUGAUGACUCAUAAUAACUGAUCGGAUCGCAUGGGCUUUGCCCGCGACACAUCAUUCAAGUUUCUGCCCCAUCAGCUUUCGAUGGUAGUGUAUUGGACUACCAUGGCUUUAACGGGUAACGGAGGAUUAGGGUUCGAUUCCGGAGAGGGAGCCUGAGAAACGGCUACCACAUCUAAGGAAGGCAGCAGGCGCGUAAAUUACCCAAUCGCGACUCGCGGAGGUAGUGACAAGAAAUAACGGACCGAAGCGUAUGUUUCGGGAUUGCAAUGAGUAGAAUUUAAACCCCUUUACGAGGAUCAAUUGGAGGGCAAGUCUGGUGCCAG